rnacentral:tRNA from 1 species
GGGCUCGUAGCGUAACGGUUAUCGCGCCUCGAUGGCAUCGAGGAGAUUAGGGGUUCAAUUCCCCUCGGGUCCACAA